rfam:Helianthus annuus linkage group 9, whole genome shotgun sequence.
GAGAGAAGAGAUUGUUAGGUUAGCUAAGGAGACUGCCUGAUAACUGCUUGGGUCUCAAAGCAUCAGUGUAGAAAGACCAAACCCUUUGAAUAAAAAAGUAAUAAUUACAGGCAAGUCAUCAUUAGCUACCAAACGAAACUCUCUCUUAUCG